AUAGAUAGAUUUUCGGGGAUUUCAUCAUACAAUUAAUAAGCCUGAUAAGAAUACAUUUGUUCAGCCUAACAGAUGACUAAACUUCCCAAAAAUGGUGAAGAUAUGGAUCUUUUCAUUUGUCUUUUUGUAUACCAACUGUAUGAGUUGAUCAAACUUUGGUUGCGUUUUCCCACAAAAUGGAAAU